AUUGAACGCUAGCGGCAUGCCUAACACAUGCAAGUCGAACGAGUGGCGGACGGGUGAGUAAUAUCUCGGAAAGUGCCCGGUGGCGGGGGAUAACUACUCGAAACAGUGGCUAAUACCGCAUACUAUCGGAUGUGCCCAGAUGGGAUUAGCUUGUUGGUGGGGUAACGGCUCACCAAGGCAACGAUCCGUAGCUGGUUUGAGAGGAAGACCAGCCACACUGGAACUGAGACACGGUCCAGACGCCUACGGGAGGCAGCAGUGGGGAAUAUUGUACAAUGGGGGAAAGCCUGAUGCAGCCAGUCCGCGUGUAUGAUGAAGGCCUUCGGGUUGUAAAGUACUUUCAGCGGAGAGGCGUUAUCUGCAGAAGAAGCACCGGCUAACUCCGUGCCAGCCGCCGCGGUAAUAC
rnacentral:rRNA from 1 species